UACGUAGGGUGCGAGCGUUAAUCGGAAUUACUGGGCGUAAAGCGUGCGCAGGCGGUUUUGUAAGACAGGUGUGAAAUCCCCGGGCUUAACCUGGGAACUGCAUUUGUGACUGCAAAGCUGGAGUGCGGCAGAGGGGGAUGGAAUUCCGCGUGUAGCAGUGAAAUGCGUAGAUAUGCGGAGGAACACCGAUGGCGAAGGCAAUCCCCUGGGCCUGCACUGACGCUCAUGCACGAAAGCGUGGGGAGCAAACGGG
rnacentral:rRNA from 1 species